rnacentral:rRNA from 1 species
AACGAACGUUAGCGGCGCGCCUAACACAUGCAAGUCGCACGAGAAAGGGCUUCGGCCCCGGUACAGUGGCGCACGGGUGAGUAACACGUAGAUAAUCUUCCCUCGAGUGGUGGAUAACUCUCCGAAAGGAGAGCUAAUACAGCAUGAGACCACGGCUUCGUUGAAGCUGCGGCCAAAGCAGGCCUCUACACGUAAGCUUGCGCUUGAGGAUGAGUCUGCGGCCCAUCAGCUAGUUGGUAGGGUAAUGGCCUACCAAGGCUAAGACGGGUAGCUGGUCUGAGAGGAAGAACAGCCACACUGGAACUUAGACACGGGCCAGCAUCCUACGGGAAGCAGGAGUGGGGAAUCUUGCGCAAUGGGCGAAAGCCUGACGGAGCGACGCCGGGUGAGCGAAGAAGGCCUUCGGGUUGUAAAGCUCUGUGGGGAGGAAAGAAUAAGGUUUGGCUAAUAUCCAAGCUGAUGACGGUACCUCCUUAGCAAGCACCGGCUAACUCUGUGCCAGCAGCCGCAGUAA